rnacentral:pre_miRNA from 1 species
GUUCAGUUAGCGACAGGUUCUCAUUGUGAUCUGCAGAGUAAAGUAUACAUCUGAGAUCACCAUGAAAGCCAGUUGCUUAAAGAAC